CAAACCCGACGCCGAUCCUUCGGCCAAAAGCGCCAACGGCGACGUUUGCAACACUUCCGGCUGCGUCCUGGCAGCGGCCGAGAUCCUGAAAAAUAUAAACAAGACGGUGAAUCCUUGCGAGGAUUUCUACUCGUUCGCUUGCGGCGGAUUCGAAACGAGGAACGUGAUUCCGGACGACCAGUCGAGCGUGACGACUUUCAGUUUGAUUAGCGACGAAGUGACGGAGCAGCUGCGGUCGCGCUCAUCGAGAGGCCCACCAAAGAAACGGACGCUGCUGAGCCGUUCAAGCUGAUCAAGAAACUCUUCCAGUCGUGUUUGAACAAUAAGACCCGGGCGGAGGAGGUGGGCCUGGCGCCGCUCAAGGAGGUCCUUGACCAGUUUGGCGGCUGGCCGGUCGUCGUUGGCGACAGCUGGGACGACAGCACUUUUGUUUGGACUGACAUGAUUUACAAGUUCCGUCUGGCCGGCUACUCGAUCGACUACUUUGUCGACUUUUCCGUCACGACCGACCUGAAGAACUUGACUUCGCGUAUUAUUGACUUGGAUCAAGCCACUCUGGGACUGAACCGGGAAUAUCUGAUCAAAGGUCUCGGAGACAAGGACGUCAAAGCUUACCUCGAUUAUCAAGUCGGUUUAGCCAACUUCUGAGAGCGAUAAGGAUAAGGAUACCGCAACCAAGCAACAGACGGAAGCGCUGGAAUUUGAAAUCAAGCAUGCCAAUGUAAUUCUUCUAUUUCAAAGCCUCUUUUCUCCCUUUUCUCCCUCUAAGCUGUGUACGUAGUAAAAUAAAAUGGCGGGAUCAUUAAUUUUGAUUGCUAUACCCUUCCCGACCAAAAAUAAAAACAGAUCAAUUUGCCGAGGGUGGAGCGCCGUGAUGCCAACAAACUUUACAAUCCCAUGACUAUUUAAGAAUUGAGCCUCAAAUUACCCGAAAUCCCUUGGCUGGUCUUACAUGAACACGAUCCUGGCCCCGCAUCACGUCCUGACGGAAAACGAGCGCGUCGUUGUCGAUGUGCCCGACUAUUUCCCCAAGCUGGUUGAUUUGCUGGCCAAAACUCCUAAGAGGGUACAAUUCCAUCAUCAUCCAGCGUUUUUAACAAUUAAUUAACAACACAACAUUUUGAUUUGAUUUUCUCAAGGACUUUGGUCAAUUAUUAGAUGUGGCGCGUUUCCUCGGCGUCUGUUGGCUACUCUCUGUUUGUUUAUUUCUUGUUGACUAAACCGGACUAAACUCGUGUCCUCUUUUUAUUUUUCGUUUACAGUUUUGGCAAUGCCGUUGGCGCCAUGUACGUCCGCGAAUAUUUUGAAGAGGCGGCCCGCCAAUCGAUGAACGAGAUGGUCAAAAAUAUCCGCAGCGUUUUCUCGGAAAUAAUCGACGAACUCGAGUGGAUGGACAAUGAAACCCGUAAACCUUUGGGUGCUGACGGUUUCAACUGGUUAAAACUGCAUGUGAUAUAUUUGACUGGUACGAAGAAAAGGGAGCCGAUUAGUGAACGUCAUGCCUAUGCCGAGAAAAUAAUGCCGGAAAUUCUCGACUCAGCUGAUAAUCCUUUAACGGGAAGACAAUGGUGGGUCAAUUCAGAUGAACCGUGGCAAACCUUAGCAGCUUGUAUGGAAGUCGCAAAUGCAUUAAGAUGUCCAGAAGGACCGGAAGCUUAUGUUUGUCACUUACCUAUCCAUCAAGACGGAUCGUGUAAUGGAUUACAACAUUAUGCAGCUUUAGGGCGAGAUACAGUUGGAGCCGAAAGCGUCAAUUUAACACCGACUGAUAGACCACAAGACGUUUACAGCAACGUGGCCAAUCUAGUUGAAAGGGAACGUUCCAAAGAUGCUGCGAAUAAUGUUGAAAUUUCUCAACUUCUUGCUGGACUGAUCAAUCGAAAGAUCAUCAAGCAAACAGUAAUGACGACAGUAUACGGUGUCACGCGGUAAUACGGUGCCCGAUUACAAAUUGCCAAACAGCUUAAAGAACUACCGAAUCUAACACCUGAACAAGUUCAAGUUGAAUCUGUUUAUUUAGCUGACAAAACAUUUCAAAGUUUACAAGGUUUACGUCGGCUAAAGAUAUUCAAGACUGGUUUACUGAAAGUGCUAAAUUGAUUUCAACCGUCGCCGGAGAAAGUGUCGAAUGGAUCACUCCGAUUGGGUUACCAGUUGUGCAGUCGUACAACAAUAAUCCUUACGAAGCAAUUCGACCGAAUGCGAUUAAACAACGCAACGCAUUCCCACCAAACUUUAUUCACUCCUCGGACUCGAGCCACAUGAUGCUAACGGCGCUCUAUUGCCAACGAAAAGGCAUCACUUUUGCGUCCAUUCACGAUUGUUUCUGGACUCACCCUUGCACUGUGGCAGAAAUGAAUAAGAUCUGUCGACAACAAUUCGUAUCUCUCCACUCUCAGCCUAUUUUGGAAGAUCUUUCAAAGUUUUUGGUCUCACAGUUUGCCGUCCGAGCGAGUGGUGCCGAUGCUGUUGACGAUGACACGCCCAAAGGACUUGCAUGACACAGAUUGAAUCAAAUUAUAAGUGAAGUGCCUAGACGCGGCAUGUUUGAUUUGCGCCUUGUUCUCGACUCGGUCUACUUCUUUUCCUAAACUAUAAAGGAUUAUCGGACGUGUUCGUUGGACAAAAAGUAACAACAGUUAGGAUGGUUGUAAAAUCUGUGCAUUCGUAUAAUUAGUAUUGUCUAGUCUUUUCCACAAUAAACCCGACGUGGUAGUUCCUAAUUUUUUCAUUGUUUAUAAGGAGAUAAUCAACAAGAUAAACAUCAAUCGCCUACACACGAUAAUCUAUUGUUAAUUUUCAUCAAGGAAGACCCGCCAUUUAAUGAAAGACAGACGAUGAAAGAGAAUCUGGUAGUUCCACGAUAUGAAACCAACAGGAAAUAAUUCUCGUCCCAAUUAAUUUUUUUAAAAUACGCAUUAAUUUUGCUGACCGAGACUGCACUAGUAACGAAACGAUUGCAAAUUUUCCGAAGUUUGGGGAUAAAAAAGGAAAAAAAUAUGAGGAGUUACCGCUAUGAAUUGAGAAAAGCAUAUAGAGAAACUUUGACGAAGA